rnacentral:rRNA from 1 species
ACUUAAAUUGAAGAGUUUGAUCAUGGCUCAGAUUGAACGCUGGCGGCAGGCCUAACACAUGCAAGUCGAACGGUAGCACAGAGAGCUUGCUCUCGGGUGACGAGUGGCGGACGGGUGAGUAAUGUCUGGGAAACUGCCUGAUGGAGGGGGAUAACUACUGGAAACGGUGGCUAAUACCGCAUAACGUCGCAAGACCAAAGAGGGGGACCUUCGGGCCUCUUGCCAUCAGAUGUGCCCAGAUGGGAUUAGCUUGUUGGUGAGGUAACGGCUCACCAAGGCGACGAUCCCUAGCUGGUCUGAGAGGAUGACCAGCCACACUGGAACUGAGACACGGUCCAGACUCCUACGGGAGGCAGCAGUGGGGAAUAUUGCACAAUGGGCGCAAGCCUGAUGCAGCCAUGCCGCGUGUAUGAAGAAGGCCUUCGGGUUGUAAAGUACUUUCAGCGAGGAGGAAGGCGUUGUGGUUAAUAACCACAGCGAUUGACGUUACUCGCAGAAGAAGCACCGGCUAACUCCGUGCCAGCAGCCGCGGUAAUACGGAGGGUGCAAGCGUUAAUCGGAAUUACUGGGCGUAAAGCGCACGCAGGCGGUUUGUUAAGUCAGAUGUGAAAUCCCCGGGCUCAACCUGGGAACUGCAUUUGAAACUGGCAAGCUUGAGUCUCGUAGAGGGGGGUAGAAUUCC